ACGGUUCCUGUCAGGCAGUGGCGCUCCACUGUACGGGUACAGCCCCAUAGUGCAGCAGCCUGAGAACACUCAUUCGCUCCACUUUUCCUCUUGCUUAGGCCCUAUAUGUGGAGCCAUCUGGACGUGGAGAGAGGGAGUCAGCUGCUGCACACACUGAGGCGCGGAGCCUGAAUCCGUCUCAGCUCAUUCUGUGGGAUCAUCUGCGUGGUGGGCUUACACCGUGGAAAAUGCGCUCUUCAUCAUUAGGUGAAAUGUUAGCAUCAAAAUAAAAAGAAAUGUUGAUCCCCGUUUGUUUUAGUGGUUGCAUGCAUGGAAACUUUGCACGAGCGUGGGAUUACAGGAUCUCGGUCACAUUUUCUCAUUGCUCAACCCUAAAAGAUUUUUUUUUCUUUCUUUUUUUUUCUUUUUUUUUUUUUCAACAGCAUGCUGGAGGUAAGUGAUGGGUGACAAGAAGGGGAAACAAGUGCAAACUAUCUCUGAUCAUCUUGGCCGCACUGAGCCAGGCUGAAUGCUCGUUUAAACGACCGGCUGAUGACACGGGGGCCUGUUAUCUCACUCCUCUUUUCAGUGAUCACAAUGAAUGAACCCCCACAGAUUUGGGCCUGACCACUGAUAUAAAAACCAAACUCCCCGGGACGCGUGCUUUCCAAUAAAAAUGUACAGGGUGACUUCGCAGACCUCCCGUCUCGACGGGACGAGCCUCCUCCGUAUUGAGGGUGACGUCUUCUUUUUUGUGUGAAUUUACGGGGCGAGGCCCUCAUGAUCUCCUUAAAUUUGCAUGUAAAUGGCGACAUCAGCCUAUACGCGUGCCAGGGGCCAGCGGGCCUCCCAGAUGUCAAGGCAAAGUCAAUCAGCCGGCCGCUGCCCAGCUGUCCAUCGAUGCACUUUAUUGGGACAACACUUUCAUUAUGCUCACCUGCAUUGUUUCCUAAUGGAUUGAUUGGCAAAAGGAGGAGGAGAGAGAGAAAAAAAGGAAAUCUUAUUAGCACCCACCAAGCAAGUUCGCUCACGGCUUUAUCGCAGAGGUUGUUUUAAAGUGAUGCCUUUUUCGAUUAAAUAUUAAUCAAAUACGCCUACAGACAUGCAUCAUUUCAAAUUCCAUAUGGAACAAACAGGCAGUCAGCCCACUUAUUGUUUACAGCAACUCAACUAUUCUAUUGUUUAGAAUAUUCGGUCCAUGUGAUUGAACUUGAAAUGUAUUUAUUUGCGCGUAAACGCGCAAAGAAAAUAAAUUUUAGCCUCCGCUUUAAAGUAUUUCUCACUGUAAAACGUUUUGCAAAACACAGUACAGUGGCGUUUUUCUCAAAAGCGGGAAACAAUUAGACGGGAUUUUUAAUCUUCACUUAUUUUUAUUAUUAGUAUUAUUAAUUUACUAAAAGCCUUGAUUCCGCACACACUGGACGCCUCGCAGCAAACUUUGGAGCGGCCAUUAGUUAUGGGCCUGGCAAACGGACGGAAGAAAUUUGACGUGACACAUUCAAAUGCGGCGUUAAAAUACAGUUUGCGCGUUAUUUUUAAUUAUUGCAGUAAAGCGCAAACGGCCCAGAGUGACGAGAUCAAUCAUGUAGGCUGCCCGUGUCAGGUAGUUACGGCUGAUAGACGGACAGCGCCCCUCGUUGGUUACACUUGAGAUCAUUGUGGCGAUAUGAGGCAGCUGUGUUCUUCAGAGACAAGAUGGCUAAACCUCAACUUAGGUUUAUCUAGCUGCUAGACGUCCAGGCAGUAGGAAAAAAUGUUUAUAUUAAGGAGAAAAAAAAAUAUGACACUUAAUUUUUAUUAGGUUUCUUAAAAAUAUUGAUCGGCGUGCACAAGAGAAUAAAAUUAAAUUAAAAUAUUUGCCGAUCUAAAAGAUUCAUGAAAGCUUAGUGCGUUAUUGUUCCAUAAAGCGAGCGCAAAUAACAGUAUUAGUAUUAUUCCCUUUAUUAUUAAUAUAAUAAUUAUUGUUGUUGUAGUUAUUUUGCCAACAUUUCUUUAUAUUUAUUAUGUGAAAUAAAUGCAGCCAUAUUAUUUGGCACAGUGCUGGUGUGACCUCACAUUUCGUCACUAACUUCUGUCAGAGUGCUCAUGUUAAUUGUGUGCAGUGGUGAGUUCUGUCAAGGGCAUUGCCCGUGCGCACAAUUUGCAUUUCCAUUCUGCUGUGGAAAUGAUGAGAGAGUUUUCUGCGCGGUUUAGAGCCUCGCGGCGCAGUCUGUGGGCGAAUUACAUUUAAAGAAGGCGAGAGAAAUUAAAUAAGAAACCGAGACCACUUCAGGGCUAUUAACAUCUAAAAUAUCCCCUGGAAAUUUAGACCAAAAUACACAUGACCAAAAUACCCAGGGUACCUCCGCUCUUACGCGCAGAGCCCGUCUUGAUUGUGUCCAUCACUGUUUUGUGCGCCUAUCUAAAAAUUCUUUAUUCAAAUUUCUUUUCCUCAGUUGAUGGAAGUGAGGCAAAUUUGAUUAUUCAGCCUUAAAUCGAGACAUAUUAAGUUCUAAUGCGCACGCCUGACUGCCAAACACGCUGUCAAGAAAAAAAAUAGGUGUAAAAAACCUGACUUUAAAGGUCAUUUAAAAAUCUCAUCAGUAAGUAUGAUAUGGGCACAUGUUGGCCUCCAAACGCGAGGCAUCAGCUUUAACCUUCCUCUUUUUUUAUAUAUAUAUAUAUUUUUUUUUUUUUUUUUCACAAGCGCCUGUGCGUGAAUGACCAAACAGGCAGCAGCUUUUACGUCAAAACUCAGGAGAACUUUAAUUUGCCUGUUGACCCCUGUGAUGGAGGAGUUGCUAACUUACACAGAUACCUCCAGGAGUUCAAUAUUUCUCACAUAAAAAAUGUAUAUUUUCAACAUGUUGCGUCGCUGCCUCUAAUUUACCACUUCUGCAAGGAUCUCAUUAAAGGAGGCGUCUGAUGGUGAUUUGCAUGGCGUCUCCUAUAUGAGCAAUGCAGCGCAAUUCAUCACCGCUAUACAAGUGGAUUUUGAUUUUAGUCAGAUAUCCUGAUUAAUAUCGAACUGUGUUACUAUUAACAGAAAUGUUAAUUAUGAUGUCAAGACGGAGGGAGUCAAGGUGAAAGCUGCACAGCAAUAGCUAAAAAUAAUCCAUGCCAGCCAGAGUACAGUAUGAUCCUGCAGAGGAGUGUUACUGGCAAGGGACCUUUUUGCUGCAACAAAGAGGUGGAAAAGAGGAAGUAAAUGAAUUAGAGUACAAGCCAGAUUUUGUCUUUGUUUCAUCCGCACUUGUCCUGUCCCUAUUUUCCAACCUCUCCCUUUUCCUUGCUCCUGGAAGUGCUGCAAAUUGUAUAAUGCUGGUCUUUGUUCCACGGAGUCAAGCCACAUGAAUAGCCGUCCUGAGCACACACAAAAACACACUGACAAACUGAUCAUCUUAAAAAAGCAACGCCCUGGUGCUCACUUGGCCUACUUUCCACGGCAGCACUGGGACGUGGGAAGAGGAAUAGAAUUCAGGGGAGGAUGUUCGUGCACUCUGGGAAACAUUCAGUAUAGCUAGUGUGAGAUGCACAUAAACAUAGCCUUUGCAUUGUCAACCUUAGACCGCGUUUGCCCCAGAUAACUAGUCCCCAUGUGCGAGACUAUUCUCUUUGACUUUGCAAUUGAAAUCCUGAGAAGAUUAUGCCAAAGCUAAAAGAGGCAAACUCCAGGGUGGGAUUUCAAUUGUCAAUUCCUGUUGGAUUUUAUAGCAUUAUGACAUAUAGUACACCAUCUGUUACGCUUCCCGCGUCUAGGUCUACAUCUGCACAAGUGGAGCCUAUUGAUGUGAACAUCAGUGCAACUAAGACAGCUUUGAACGGACAGCAAUAUUCAAUCACCGAUACACGCAUGAUUUAAAGCAUGUGUGUGACUGAGGGCGGGGGUCUUUAGGCGAAAAAACACAAGCGUGAAUUAGAAAAGGUGCAGGAAAGUAACCACUCAUAACUUUAGCUAAACAGACUUCCUGAAGCGCCAGAUAAUCUGGGGCUUCUAUGUACACCGCCUAACCAAAUGUCGACAUCUGUGAGGGUGUGCAUAAAGAAAAGCUCCUCAGAGAAACGGGGGAUAAUAAUCUUAGUUCCCCUCACCUUCAGCUUGCCCAUAGGGGUUUAAAAGGGAGAUGAAGAAAUCCUAUGUAAACAUGCCAAGUCAAAUUUUCACUCGAAACGUGACAUAAAGGCAAAGGGCAACCUUGGUGCAUCACUAAUGUGGUGAGUUUUCAGAGCCCCUGGAUGUAAACAAUUGAUGUAUUCAGUGCAUGGUUUGAACACUGACUCACUGUGCACACUUAGUAUGUUUGAGCAUCCCUUUUAUAUCCACGACUGUACGUUCGGUGCACAGGUGAAGAGCCCAGAGAAGUCAACACAAAGCUUGUACACAAUCGCAAUCUCUGCAGUCAAUAGCGCCGUGAAAGUGAGUUUUGCUCUCCUGAGAAACAUACAAAGUUUGAGCAUCUGUUCCAUCAUGUAGUCUUUGUUGAGAAAUUAAAUAUUGAACUGAUCUAGUGUACCAUGAAUGUUUCACUCACAUAGUGAUUAGACAGACUGGAGAGGCAAGACAUCACAGCUCUUUAUACUGGAUCUGUUGGUCUUGCCUUUAAGUGUUUCGUGCACCAGACUGUGUUGCUGUUAAAGAAAAUGUUUUUUAAUGUUGCGUCAAUUAUGCCUAACAUGCGUGUGCGACUCGACUCGCAAACAAAUUUAUAUGCAUGCCGUGUAUGUGCACAAACACAAUCACCCACAAUAUGCAAAAUGUAGUGCAAAUCACCCUAAUUGGAAAAAAAUAAAAUAAAUGAGAGUUUUGGAUUUAUGAUUCAAUUAUCAACUUGGUGGUAUUUGUUUUUACACUUUUAUGUUACUGUGCAUAUAGAAAAGCUAAUUGCUUUUGUGGUCGCAAAUAAAGGAUGUUUCUUUUCUUACUUUCGUCGUCCCUUUCUCUAAAUCAACAGUUGUCUCCGGGGAGAGUCUCUAAUGAUGUGUUGUUUUUUUUUUAAAAAAAGAAAAAAAAGAAAAAAGCAUUUUGGAUUAAAACGAGCAGACCAAGGUAACAUGCGAGCAGGAGACGGAAACGGUAUCAUCACACGGAUCAUAAAAUGGUGUCGUGAGUAGUCUUUUGUCCAGGACCAUAGGAGAGUUCUGUUGCUAAAGGGAAGGACAAAAGCAGAAGGCGCCACGGGUAUAAGGUUCCCCUGAGCAACAAUACUGAAAGUUUCAACUUGCAGCGCAUGGGUGUAACUUUAACUGGAAUACUGUGGAUCAAAGCCUCACAAACAAAGUGGGUGGAAAUGCUGGAGGAGUGUCUGUGCUCGAGUGAAGGACAGGUUCACUAGAGAGAAAGCGGGAGCGACAAUUUAUGAAACACAGACCAGGCAAUCAAGGCUAAUUACUGAGACUGUGUUUUGCGAACUCAAAGGGCAGUGGCAUUCAACAAAUAAAACUGAAGUCAAUUAUAAUUCCAAAAAAAAAGAAAAAAAAAGAAAGAAAGUAAAAUUA